GGGUUUGGGCCGGAGAGAGGCCUUGUAGGUACAGACGCUGAGGCUCGGUCGGCUCCGAGAAGGGCCUCUUUCGCGGGUGGGAGUCCGGGGUUCCGCGCCCGCCAACCCGCGCCUUGCCCCCUCCCAGCUCCCGGGCCGACGAAAUGACCAUUAAGAAGUAGAUGCCCAGAUGCCAAAGUAAUGAAACAGUCAAUUUGUCAUAAAGUAAGAUGCAGCUGUGGCUUUUCAACCAGAUUAGGACAAAAUUGUAUCUAUUUUUCUCAGAAGAGAAUUCCACAAGGUAAGACAUUGUUAAUAUAGUAAUAAAACACAUAUGGUUGAAUAUAGGCUUAAUUGCUCUGGCUUUUUUUUUCUUUUUAUCCUUUUCCCUUACUUAUUUCAUAUCUUUUCUGGAUUAUUACAAGAUUCUCACAAUUUGUUAGCUAUUCCUUUACUACCUCAGAAUUUGCUAGCAAGACACAAGUCAUCUUAUUUGAAGUUAGGAUUAAAAGGGUGUGAUUAAAGUAGUCACCUUGAAACUCAAAUACUGCUUUUCAUAGUCACAGCUUAUUCCUAGCAUCCUUAGGAGUGGGUUUGUCCAUUUUGAGAAAAAAGUUCUUUUCUUUCAUUGGGGCCCAUUUACCUUUUACUUCAAUGGAUAGUACUAUCUAAGUGACAUUAGGGAGUAGUGGGUUCAUAGAAGCUCUCUUAGAGGCUUUAAGUUAAAGGAGAUUAUUUUGCAAUGCUUCCACCUAUGGAAAUUGUGUAGCUCCUUAAUUUAGUUUAAAAAGUGGAAUACUUCCUACCAGCUAGAUAAUAAAAGAUUGAGUAACAGGUAGUAUUAAAGAAAAUAUCCUGAAUGAUCACCUUGACAAUGGAUUUUAAAUCAUCAUUGAUGUACAUUAUUAUUCUCUUUAAACUUUUGAAGGAUGAAAUGUUCAAGUGAGUAGAUAGUAAAAUUUCCUUAUCAGUUUGCCUACCCUAUGCCAGAUACUUAAAAUCAAUUGCUUGGCAGCAUUAAGAGCUUACUUUGGUUAAGUUUUCUCAGGAACUUUUGGCAUAGGUAGUAGUGGUCCUUGCAGAGUAAUUCAAUCUGUCAACUGGAAAUGCUUAUAAAGUGAAUUAUUCAGAUCAAUAACUUUCUUAUUUUUUCUCCUUUUUCAGUAUCCUAUGUCCUGAGGGUAACAUUCACCCUCAAACACAAUUUUUCCACCUGCUUUUGAAACUGCCACAGAUUUAGUUAAUCAAGUCAGUUUUUAUCCUGAUAACUGAAAAUAAAGCGUUAAAAUAAAGGGGACCCACUAGCUGGUAAGGAGGAAGGGAGAGCAAAUUUCCAAGUUUUCAUUUACAAAUUUCUCGUGAAACUCUUUUGCCCUAUUUUUUUCUUCUACUUAACAGGGGGUUAAGGGAGGGGAUCCUAGAACCUGUGUAUAGCACUAUCUGAUCUUCCAGGGCACUACUCAAAGGCAUUACUUCAGGAGAAAUCCAGAUCCUUCUUUUCCUGGACCACAAUGCUUAAAGUAAAAACAAAAACUUCAAAAAAUUUAAUCUUAGUGAACUUGAUCUGUUACAUCUUUGUCACUGUUCUUUUGGCAAAUAAAAUGUAAAUCUCAGACAUCAGUACAAUGUAUGUUAUGAUACAAUGAUGAUGAAUUAUAUUGUCUGUACCCUUAGGGUUCCCCUGUACCUGUUCAAUAAAUAUAUAUUUUUGUACAUACCAGGUGCUUUCAUAAUUUUUUUAGAGUAGAAAAUAAUCUAAAAAAGAUUAUUCAUGUUUAUAUAGUAUUACCCUGCUACACAGUUAAAGGUAUUAAAGGGACAAUGACAACUUAAAUUAUUGUUAACCCUACACUUAAAAAUGGCUGAAAUGGUAAAUUUUAUGUUAUGUAUAUUUUAUCACAAUUUUAAAAAUUACUGUUUAAAAUUUGGGGCAGCUUUGUUUGUUAUGAAAGAGGAUGGCUUUGUCUGAAGUACCAGUUUGUUGUUGUUGUUUUUACCUCUGUCAAGAGGCCCUCUCCUGCCACUAUUCUUCUAGGUCCCAGUAGCCACACUUCCCUUUACCCUUUGGACUGUGAGGUGGUAGCAGCUCUAGCUCUCCACUGUUGCUAAGCUGGGGGAAUUCCCCCUUAACCCUACCAUAGUUGUGUAAUACAGGUUUAACUUCUGGUAUCCACUAUUGACAGUUCAAAGACAAAGGAGUAAAGAAAUGCAGAGAAUUUCAUGUUAACUAGUCCAAAAUUGUAUCUCAAAACAUGUUGCUGCUUAUGAGACACAAUGUAAUUUAGAUGCAUGCAGAAUUUAAAAUGCACAAAAUUUGCAUCUUUUUAUACUAGCUAUUGUACCUUGUUUUGGAGUGCCAUUUAAAAAGAAAAAUAUCAAGCUGAGAGUUGAAGAAAAAGUAAUCCUUACAAAAUACUACUAUACUCAAAUGGGAACAUGGCCUGAAGUGUCAGGGUGAUGAUAAGGUCCCACAGACAACCAUGGAUUUAAAUAAAGCAGAAAGAAUUCCAUAGAUGGGAGAAAGGCCAGGUAUCUAAACAGUCACAUGAUUAUCUUCUCCAAUAUUGAAGUACCAGUUUUUAACCUCAAGUACAGGCGUAUUGAGUUAAUGAUAUUCCUCAGUUUGUGUCAUACCCAUUUAUCACUGGUUCGUUAAAGGACUGUUCUUCCAUUUUCUUUUAUAACUAGUCCCUAUACAAAUGACCUUUAAAUGUGUUUGGUGUGUAUCGUUUUGUUUAUAUCUUAUAAAAGGUUUUGUUAUUUUAUGUGCCUGUGUUUUAAUUAUACAUUAGGUCUUAAUCUAAUUCUUAUAGUCCCCUCCAUCCUCCUCUGUCUUAUUUUUUUCUAAGAUCUGGCCAUGUUGCUGAGUGUUCUUCUAAUUUGUUUUGUCCAUCUGGUACAUUGUAUUCCAGGUUGUUUAUUAAAACGAAGCUAUUAAAUGUAAAAUUUCUUAAAUGUGUAAGGCACAUAAAAUGAGCAUUUAAGAAAAGGUCAAUUUGUGCUUAUUUCUUAAUAUUAGAAUUGAAGUUGAGGAAUGCGAAUUAGAUUCUGUGGAAGAUUAGAGGAAAUAUAAACAUCUGUUUAGAAGGCUGUCUAUCUAGGAGUCUGUUAGAACAGUCAAAGAAAAGAACUGUAGGGCCUAACAAAAACAUAUUUUUUGUCUAGAAACAAUAUAUUAAAAUGCUUAGGUCUCAGUGUUAGCUGGUAAAAAGCCUUAUGGUAGAAAGAUAAUACCAGUAAUGUUAAUAGAACCUCCCCAUUAUCUGUUGCUUGUUAAUUUCUCCAUUAAAUUAUAUAUGAACGUUCAUCUUAUUUCUUUCUAUUACUUCACUGAAGCAGAAUCAUGUUCUGUGAAUUUCCAUCACUGAAUCUAACACAGAGUAAGAACAGUACAAAUGCAAGAUUCUAAAUUUGGGAUGCAGAAAGACAGUUUCAUCUAUGGUAAGCACAGUAUCAGCAGAAGUAACUUCUCUUGGAUCCCCUAACUAGAAAUUGUCAGAAAGUGGGAACUUUAGAAUGUCCAAGUCUGUGGUGGUGAUAUGCCUUGUAGUCAAGAAGAGGGGAGAGGGGAAAACUCCUAGGAGAGGAUAAAGUGGGCCCUGACAUUACAUUAAGGAGGAUAAUGACAGCACUGAUCAGAUCAGGGAUGGGCUUCUAUCAGGUCGAAAAAGCUAACAAGGUACUUUCUGGGAGCAGUUUCUUUUUGUGGAAGGAGGAUCUUAGGGGCACUUAGUUCUGGAGGCCAGGCAGACAUGUGGAACUGAUUCAGUAGUAGUGGAAUGGAAAAGGGUAAGGGAAUUCACAUUUGCUAAAAGCCAGUGUUGAGGCUUUUUGAAAGAAGUAGUUAUUUACAUGUCAACACUUAAGUAUUUGUAAAAUUUUUGCUGGGAAGACUGGACCCUCUUGAUACUGAUUUGGUAUCCCAUGCAUUGUUGAAUACUCCCCACUCUUUUUAAAAAUAACAAUUCAGGUAACAUAGUCCCUUUCUCUGAUUUCUUAAAUUUUUGAGUAUUUUGUAUGGCAUAAUAAUUUCAUGAUUUUUACUUGGUUAUGUUAACACAUGCCAUAAGUAGGACAGAUAGUAUUAUCAUUUUACAAAUGAGGAAACCAGUAGCAGAAUUAGCUUUAGAUUCUUUUUACUAAUCUACACUGCCACCCUAUCAAUGGAUAUUUUGCUCUAUAUAGAAGAUGUAAUUACAAGGAUAGUUUUAACAUGAAAGAAAUGUUUCUAACCAAAAAGAACCUCACAGCCUGAGAAGUUUAAAAAACACACAUACAGGGGCUUCCCUGGUGGCGCAGUGGUUGAGAGUCCGCCUGCCAAUGCGGGGGACGCAGGUUCUUGCCCCGGUCCAGGAGGAUCCCACGUGCCGCGGAGCGGCUGGGCCCGUGAGCCGUGGCCGCUGAGCCUGCGCGUCCGGGGACUGUGGUCCGCAACGGGAAAGGCCACAGCAGUGAGAGGCCUGCGUACC
rnacentral:lncRNA from 1 species